rnacentral:rRNA from 1 species
AGUGAACGCUGGCGGUAGGCCUAACACAUGCAAGUCGAACGGCAGCACAGUAAGAGCUUGCUCUUACGGGUGGCGAGUGGCGGACGGGUGAGGAAUACAUCGGAUUCUACUUUUUCGUGGGGGAUAACGUAGGGAAACUUACGCUAAUACCGCAUACGACCUACGGGUGAAAGCAGGGGAUCUUCGGACCUUGCGCGAUUGAAUGAGCCGAUGUCGGAUUAGCUAGUUGGCGGGGUAAAGGCCCACCAAGGCGACGAUCCGUAGCUGGUCUGAGAGGAUGAUCAGCCACACUGGAACUGAGACACGGUGCAGACUCCUACGGGAGGCAGCAGUGGGGAAUAUUGGACAAUGGGCGCAAGCCUGAUCCAGCCAUACCGCGUGGGUGAAGAAGGCCUUCGGGUUGUAAAGCCCUUUUGUUGGGAAAGAAAAGCAGCAGGUUAAUACCCCGCUGUUCUGACGGUACCCAAAGAAUAAGCACCGGCUAACCUCGUG